rnacentral:rRNA from 1 species
UGAGGAAUAUUGGUCAAUGGGCGAGAGCCUGAACCAGCCAAGUCGCGUGAAGGAAGACAGUCCUAAGGAUUGUAAACUUCUUUUAUACGGGAAUAACGGGCGAUACGAGUAUUGCAUUGAAUGUACCGUAAGAAUAAGCAUCGGCUAACUCCGUGCCAGCAGCCGCGGUAAUACGGAGGAUGCGAGCGUUAUCCGGAUUUAUUGGGUUUAAAGGGUGCGUAGGUUGUUCGGUAAGUCAGCGGUGAAACCUGAGCGCUCAACGUUCAGCCUGCCGUUGAAACUGCCGGGCUUGAGUUCAGUGGCGGCAGGCGGAAUUCGUGGUGUAGCGGUGAAAUGCAUAGAUAUCACGUGGAACUCCGAUUGCGAAGGCAGCUUGCCAUACUGCGACUGACACUGAAGCACGAAGGCGUGGGUAUCAAACAGG